GUGAUCCCAACAGCAUUUCUUUCAUGGUGGCAAGUGAUAACAGUCUUCAAAUCAGACUGAAGACAAGAACUGUUUCUCAUUAUCACCAACCAGGAAGUUCAAGCAUAGCGUUGGAGUACAGCUAUUUUAACUCUGAUGAUGGGAGGGAGCUGAAAAGAUGGGAAAGCUCAAGUGAAUACUCAACCUAUACGCCCAUGGGACCUGAAAACAAGGAGGUUGAAAACAUGAGGAGCUGCUGCUUACAAUACUAUACUGCUACAAGGAAGACACUGCUGAUUUUGUGAAUCAGUGGAAAGGAAUUACAUAAUUACACUUCUGUCAAAAGAGAGCUUCUGAUGACACCAGAGAUCCACAAAGCAUUCAGGUGAUGGAACAUAACUGAUUAUUUCAAUAGUGCUUUGUUAUACAAGAAAAAGAGAACAAUAUGAAGGAAGAUAAAAGUACACAUAAAGCUGUGGAAAGUCAACCAAGUUCUACCUGCAAAAUGCUUAGAAGCUUUUACUUAAGACAGUAUCAACACAAUUUAACUGAUAUUACUUCAUUUGUUUGAAUCAACAUAAUUUUCAUGCAAAUUUAAAUGGAAAUUUCAAACAGUUAAUCUCACAUUGGCUGCUAAUCUGCAUUUAGGGAAAAUAAACAAACAACAAACCCCCCA
rnacentral:lncRNA from 1 species